AUUGAACGCUGGCGGCAGGCCUAAGACAUGCAAGUCGAGCGAGAAAGCCCUUCGGGGUGAGUACAGCGGCGGACGGGUGAGUAACGCGUAGGAAUCUACCCAGUAGUGGGGGACAACUAGUGGAAACGCUAGCUAAUACCGCAUACGCCCUAAGGGGGAAAGCGGGGGAUCUUCGGACCUCGUGCUAUUGGAUGAGCCUGCGUAAGAUUAGCUUGUUGGUGAGGUAAUGGCUCACCAAGGCGACGAUCUUUAGCUGGUCUGAGAGGAUGAUCAGCCACACCGGGACUGAGACACGGCCCGGACUCCUACGGGAGGCAGCAGUCGGGAAUAUUGCGCAAUGGGGGAAACCCUGACGCAGCCAUGCCGCGUGUGUGAAGAAGGCCCUAGGGUUGUAAAGCACUUUCAAUUGGGAGGAAAAGCUAAUGGUUAAUAGCCAUUAGCCCUGACGUUACCUUUAGAAGAAGCACCGGCUAACUCCGUGCCAGCAGCCGCGGUAAUACGGAGGGUGCAAGCGUUAAUCGGAAUUACUGGGCGUAAAGCGCGCGUAGGCGGCUCUUUAAGUCGGAUGUGAAAGCCCCGGGCUCAACCUGGGAACUGCAUCCGAUACUGGAGGGCUAGAGUGUAGGAGAGGGAGGUAGAAUUCCAUGUGUAGCAGUGAAAUGCGUAGAUAUAUGGAGGAAUACCAGUGGCGAAGGCGGCCUCCUGGCUUAACACUGACGCUGAGGUGCGAAAGCGUGGGGAGCAAACGGGAUUAGAUACCCCGGUAGUCCACGCCGUAAACGAUGUCUACUAGCUGUAGGGGUACUUGAGACCUUUGUAGCGCAGCUAACGCACUAAGUAGACCGCCUGGGGAGUACGGCCGCAAGGUUAAAACUCAAAUGAAUUGACGGGGGCCCGCACAAGCAGUGGAGCAUGUGGUUUAAUUCGAUGCAACGCGAAGAACCUUACCAGGCCUUGACAUCCCCGGAACUUUCUAGAGAUAGAUUGGUGCCUUCGGGAACCGGGUGACAGGUGCUGCAUGGCUGUCGUCAGCUCGUGUCGUGAGAUGUUGGGUUAAGUCCCGUAACGAGCGCAACCCUUGUCCUUAGUUGCCAGCACGUAAUGGUGGGAACUCUAAGGAGACUGCCGGUGACAAACCGGAGGAAGGUGGGGACGACGUCAAGUCAUCAUGGCCCUUACGGCCUGGGCUACACACGUGCUACAAUGGCUAGGACAGACGGCUGCAAACCAGCGAUGGGGAGCUAAUCCGACAAACCUAGUCGUAGUCCGGAUUGGAGUCUGCAACUCGACUCCAUGAAGUCGGAAUUGCUAGUAAUCGCGAAUCAGAAUGUCGCGGUGAAUACGUUCCCGGGCCU
rnacentral:rRNA from 1 species